GAUGAACGCUGGCGGCGUGCCUAAUACAUGCAAGUCGAGCGAACAGAUGAGGAGCUUGCUCCUCUGACGUUAGCGGCGGACGGGUGAGUAACACGUGUAUAACCUACCUAUAAGACUGGGAUAACUUCGGGAAACCGGAGCUAAUACCGGAUAAUAUAUUGAACCGCAUGGUUCAAUAGUGAAAGACGGUUUUGCUGUCACUUAUAGAUGGAUCCGCGCCGCAUUAGCUAGUUGGUAAGGUAACGGCUUACCAAGGCGACGAUGCGUAGCCGACCUGAGAGGGUGAUCGGCCACACGGGAACUGAGACACGGUCCAGACUCCUACGGGAGGCAGCAGUAGGGAAUCUUACGCAAAGGGCGAAAGCAUGACGGAGCAACGCCGCGUGAGUGAUGAAGGUCUUCGGAUCGUAAAACUCUGUUAUUAGGGAAGAACAAAUGUGUAAGUAACUAUGCACGUCUUGACGGUACCUAAUCAGAAAGCCACGGCUAACUACGUG
rnacentral:rRNA from 1 species